rnacentral:rRNA from 1 species
UACGGGGGGGGCAAGCGUUGUUCGGAAUUACUGGGCGUAAAGGGCUCGUAGGCGGCCAACUAAGUCAGACGUGAAAUCCCUCAGCUUAACUGGGGAACUGCGUCUGAUACUGGAUGGCUUGGAUCCGGAAGAGGGAUGCGGAAUUCCAGGUGUAGCGGUGAAAUGCGUAGAUAUCUGGAGGAAUACCGGUGGCGAAGGCGGCAUCCUGGACCGGCAUUGACGCUGAGGAGCGAAAGCGUGGGGAGCAAACAGG